rnacentral:lncRNA from 1 species
UUCGGCUUUCAAUAUAUAAAUGCUCACGAUGUUUAUCUUGGUUGUCCAUAUUCUAUGUGCAAUGGAGCGCUAAUGAGGUCAACACCAGACGAUUAAAAAAAAGGGGGGGUACAAGUCGAUAAGAUGUAUGGACGAGGAAACAGCAACCUAACACCAGCCGAUGUUAAAAACAAGUACAAAGUGGUCCCUUAAGUAAGUCCUCAUUUUUGUUAUGUGUUUUGGUAUAGUUAUAAAUAAAUAUUUGAAACGUAAUAUUAUCAAUUUAAUAAUAAAAUACCUGUUGUCUAUUGUUUGAACAAAAUCAAAUUAUACUAUUAAACGAGAAGACCUCAUUUUUGGUGUCGCUUCUCCUCCUUUCAAAUAAAUAAAUCAUCAUGCCUCUGUGUCCCUAUAGGUAACAUUAUAGUUGCAUUUGUCAUCCAUUAUGAUCAUUAAGUUGGGUUAAUUGGGAUAAAAAAAAAAGAAUGCGUCCGGAUAUUUCCCCGUCAUUGGACAAAACUUAAGUCAGUUAGACUUCCGGUUUGUGUUUUUCUGUACUUCGAACAUACAAAGACUAUGAAAUAAGUAUAUGAAUUUGCUUUCUGCUAUCAUUUUGAGUACUAGCAUUACAUCUUGCUUAACGUGUUUCAGUUUGUUUAUUUUGGGGAAAAACGAAAAUGAUUACUAUCAAUUAGUUUACAGUGGCGGAUCCAGAACUUUUCAUAAGGGAGGGGGCGCUGAUGACCUAAAGGGGGCGUUACUCUCAUGCUUCCCCAUAUAAUCAACAAUUUUUUUCCAACGAGAGGGGAUCCGCCUAUGGUUUACUAUCAACGGCGGUCACUGCGGAUAUAUGUAUAUAUACUUACAUACAUUUACUAUGAAUUACUGUAUUUGUUAAAAAUUUACUAUAAAUUCCAAUGGUUAUUUUGGGGGGGGGGGGGGGACUCUUUUACUAUUCAUGGCGUUCACUGAUGUAUAUAUAUAUAUAAAUAAGUACCUUUGACUUUGGAUACCUCUCCUGAAAUUCUCUGUAUUGAGUAAUUAAAGUAUAUAUGCAGGUUCAUAGAGUACAGAAAAACAGAAGGUAUAAAAAUCGGUAUUUGGAAAAUAGAGGAGGGCAAAAAGAUGUCCCAUUCCUAAGUAGCUUUGAAUUUUCGAUACCUUCUCCGAAAUUCUCCGUCAAGAUAUUUUUUUUUUUACAGUUUACAUACGCACUAUUUCCCCGCGAUUUCGCGGGUGUGUUCUAGUAAUGUAUAAUUUUCGGCUUUCAAUAUAUAAAUGCUCACGAUGUUUAUCUUGGUUGUACCAUAUUCUAUGUGCAAUGGAGCGCAAAUGAGGUCAACACCAGACGAUGUUAAAAAAAAAGGGGGGGUACAAGUCGAUAAGAUGUAUGGACGAGGAAACAGCAACCUAACACAGCCGAUGUUAAAAACAAGUACAAGACGAUUGCAAGUAUAUAUGAGGAAACAGCAACCAAACAAUGCAAAUAACAAAAUACGUCAAUAACAAUUCGGAGUGUCAAUAUUAUUAUAUAAUUGUAUGACAUUUCACAAUAGGCCCAUUUCAAAAUUACUACAAAAAUUUAUUUGUCAUCAUCUAAUUAUCUAAGAAGAAAAGAUAAAAAUGAGCAAAAAAGGACAAACAUUAAAGAAUGGAAAAAGGGAAUAAUAGUUGAUCAAAUUCAAAUCUGUAUUUUCCUUAAAUUUUUAUGCCAUUUAUCUCAAUUACUUGUA